GGCCCGCACAAGCGGUGGAGUAUGUGGUUUAAUUCGACGCAACGCGCAGAACCUUACCCAGGCUUGACAUCCUCGGAACCUGAUGGAAACAUCGGGGUGUCCCCUCACGGGGAAGCCGAGUGACAGGUGCUGCAUGGCUGUCGUCAGCUCGUGUCGUGAGAUGUUCGGUUAAGUCCGGCAACGAGCGCAACCCCUGUCGUUAGUUGCCAGCAUUCAGUUGGGCACUUUAGCGAGACUCCCGGUGUUAAGCCGGCGGAAGAUGGAGAUGACGUCAAGUCCUCAUGGCCCUUAUGGUUGGGGCUACACACGUACUACAAUGGUAACUACAGAGGGCAGCAAGACCGCGAGGUGGAGCCAAUCCCAAAAAGUUGCCUCAGUUCGGAUUGGAGUCUGCAACUCGACUCCAUG
rnacentral:rRNA from 1 species